UCUCUCUCUCUCUCUCUCUCUCUCUCUCGCCUGCGCACGAAAGCUUCGUUCUUAGCAUCUACCAAAAAACAAAAAAUGCUUCGUUCUCACUUCUUGCCUAGGGCUGCAGUCGCAUCUCCACUACCAGAUUUUUCGAACCCCGACCUCUUUCUGUUCACCUCUGUUUUCUUUCACCUGUAGGCUGUAGAACAAAACAAUCUAUGCUUCUUGUAGCAAAGAUAGGUUUUAAAUGGGAUGUAUAACAAGUUUGAUCGGAGAUGUAAAAGGUCUCAUUUGUCUGAAUCAUCCCCCAACCCAACCUGGCAGUGUGCACUCACCACUUAAGACAGAGUUGACACACUGAAAGAAUGGAUCAGCAAGUUGGGGAAAAAAGGCUGAUAGUUUCACACAUGGAGUUCGUGGAUGAGAUUCCUUCAGAUGGAAAUAAACCCUCUAAACGUAUUGUGUGGAGGGAUAUCCCUGUUUUUUGCCUUGUUUUUCUUAUUUGUUGGAAUCAUAAUUGGAUAUUGUAUUCCCCACUGAAUCUUCUAUGUAACACUUGACGAUGUAAGUUUAUGAAUUAGUAUCUUAUUUCAAUGAGAUUUACCUUUUUAUUAA